rnacentral:rRNA from 1 species
UACGUAGGAUCCAAGUGUUGUCCGGAUUUACUGGGUGUAAAGGGUGCGCAGGCGGAAUGGUAAGUCAGAGGUGAAAUCUCAUCGCUCAACGGUGAAACUGCCUUUGAUACUAUCAUUCUUGAGUCCGAUAGAGAUCUGUGGAAUUCCGAGUGUAGCAGUGAAAUGUGUAGAUAUUCGGAAGAACACCAGUGGCGAAGGCAGCAGAUUGGGUCGGUACUGACGCUCAGGCACGAAAGCAUGGGGAUCAAACAGG